GUUUUGUCCUAUUUUCUCCUUUAUAAUCUUUUCGCACAGUCCAUGUAAUUUUUGUGUGUUCUGCUUUGUUCUUCAAAGCACAGAUUAAACCAUACUUCUCUUGAAACAGAUAAAUUCCAGCAGUAUUGGGUCCUAGAGCAACCCUCCAAUUUCACAGACCAGAGAGCCACAAAAAGAAAUAAAUACGGUUGAGCAGAGAUUUUAGUCUUGGGUUUUUGCAAGGUUAAAGUGGGAGAUGUAGCUGGGAGGAUGAGGACCGCAGGCUUCUGGGGAUGCCGCAGUGACUGGGAUGCCUGCCCGCCAAGUGCAGCUAGGAGCUCCACACAAUUCCUGCAGUGUUUUGGAAGUGACAAGGAGAGCUGGUGGGUGGCAUUGCUGAUGGGGUGCUGAUGGGGUACUUAUGGUCCUGGUCAGCCAGCGUUCAGUGUCCGGUUCCCACCCACAUGUGGGGUCUUCACAGGUUCCAUACCAGCACUCUCCUGGAGAGCCCACAGGCACGAACACAUCUUUCCAAUUAGAGGGGUUUUGUGCCUCUCGUUUUUAAGGAACAUUUUUAACAUUGUCAAAGUUGAGGCAACCGGAGCUUUCUUUGAUCCAGGGGCGAAGUCGACUCAGAUCUGCUUUGCCCAGUUUUAUUUAAAGACCAUGACUACCACUUCUGAAAUGUUACUUGCGAAUGCUAUGUUAUUACAUUAUCUGCUUUUCCAUCUGUUAAAUGCCAUGGUUCCAGCAGCAAAAAUACCACUGUCUGACUGUAGCAGCUGUCAAAGGUCUUAUUUAGUCAUCUUCAAGAAGUAGUAAAACCCGAUACCACCAAAGAUAAGCCAAGUUUUGUUACGAUAAAACUUUCUUUGGAUGUGAUGUUAGGAAUGUUACUAUUUAUAGUCACCCUGGCUUUUUAUUGCUGAAUAGGAGGGAGAUAGUACACAUCUAUAAUUUUAAGUAAAAUUAUUUGCUUAUUCCUGGUUUAAACACUGUCACGUUGUUGUUUAUAACCUGUGUACAAAUAUAUAGCCCUGUGUGUAAAUCUGGCCUUGGCAUUCUGCAUGGUUGUUCCCUAAAUCUAAAUGAUGGCACCUAUGACCAGGCUGCUUCACACAGGAUAAAGAAAUGUUGUUUGAGUCAAA